rnacentral:rRNA from 1 species
CGUCAACGCCAUGGAAGCCGGGAGUGCCUGAAGUGCGUGAGCGCAAGCAGCGCCCUAAGGUAAAACCGGUGACUGGGGCUAAGUCGUAACAAGGUAGC